UACGUAGGGACCGAGCGUUGUCCGGAUUCAUUGGGCGUAAAGAGCUCGUAGGCGGCCACUCAAGUCGAAUGUGAAACCUCGAGGCUUAACCUCGAGCCUGCAUUCGAUACUGGGCGGCUAGAGUCUGGUAGGGGGAUCUGGAAUUCCUGGUGUAGCGGUGGAAUGCGCAGAUAUCAGGAGGAACACCGAUGGCGAAGGCAGUGUUCUGGGCCAGUACUGACGCUGAGGAGCGAAAGCGUGGGGAGCAAACAGG
rnacentral:rRNA from 1 species